ACGAACGCUGGCGGCGUGGAUAAGACAUGCAAGUCGAACGGGAGAAUUGCUAGCUUGCUAAUAAUUCUCUAGUGGCGCACGGGUGAGUAACACGUGAGUAACCUGCCUCUUAGUGGGGGAUAGCCCUGGGAAACCGGGAUUAAUACCGCAUACGAUUGAAAGAUCAAAGCAGCAAUGCGCUAGGAGAUGGGCUCGCGGCCUAUUAGUUAGUUGGUGAGGUAACGGCUCACCAAGGCGAUGACGGGUAGCCGGUCUGAGAGGAUGUCCGGCCACACUGGAACUGAGACACGGUCCAGACACCUACGGGUGGCAGCAGUCGAGAAUCAUUCACAAUGGGGGCAACCCUGAUGGUGCGACGCCGCGUGGGGGAAUGAAGGUCUUCGGAUUGUAAACCCCUGUCAUGUGGGAGCAAAUUAAAAAGAUAGUACCACAAGAGGAAGAGACGGCUAACUCUGUGCCAGCAGCCGCGGUAAUACAGAGGUCUCAAGCGUUGUUCGGAAUCACUGGGCGUAAAGCGUGCGUGGGCUGUUUCGUAAGUCGUGUGUGAAAGGCAGGGGCUCAACCCCUGGAUUGCACAUGAUACUGCGAGACUAGAGUAAUGGAGGGGGAACCGGAAUUCUCGGUGUAGCAGUGAAAUGCGUAGAUAUCGAGAGGAACACUCGUGGCGAAGGCGGGUUCCUGGACAUUAACUGACGCUGAGGCACGAAGGCCAGGGGAGCGAAAGGGAUUAGAUACCCCUGUAGUCCUGGCAGUAAACGGUGCACGCUUGGUGUGCGGGGAAUCGACCCCCUGCGUGCCGGAGCUAACGCGUUAAGCGUGCCGCCUGGGGAGUACGGUCGCAAGAUUAAAACUCAAAGAAAUUGACGGGGACCCGCACAAGCGGUGGAGUAUGUGGCUUAAUUCGAUGCAACGCGAAGAACCUUACCUGGGCUUGACAUGUAAUGAACAACAUGUGAAAGCAUGCGACUCUUCGGAGGCGUUACACAGGUGCUGCAUGGCCGUCGUCAGCUCGUGUCGUGAGAUGUUUGGUUAAGUCCAGCAACGAGCGCAACCCCUGUUGCCAGUUACCAGCACGUCAAGGUGGGGACUCUGGCGAGACUGCCCAGAUCAACUGGGAGGAAGGUGGGGACGACGUCAGGUCAGUAUGGCCCUUAUGCCCAGGGCUGCACACGUACUACAAUGCCCAGUACAGAGGGGGCCGAAGCCGCGAGGCGGAGGAAAUCCUGAAAACUGGGCCCAGUUCGGACUGUAGGCUGCAACCCGCCUACACGAAGCCGGAAUCGCUAGUAAUGGCGCAUCAGCUACGGCGCCGUGAAUACGUUCCCGGGUCUUGUACACACCGCCCGUCACAUCAUGGAAGCCGGUCGCACCCGAAGUAUCUGAAGCCAACCGCAAGGAGGCAGGGUCCUAAGGUGAGACUGGUAACUGGGAUG
rnacentral:rRNA from 1 species